UUUUUUUUUUAAUUUCAAAAAAGUUGAACUAAACAGGGGCUAAAUCGAACACUAUUAAAGAAGAAAAAUAAUCGAAAUCUCAUAAAUUAUUGUUAUAUUACGUCCAAGUCUCCGUACUAAACAAACUCUUAUUAAUAUAUAUAUAUAUAUAUAUAUAUAUAUAUAUAUAUAUAUAUAUAUAUAUAUAUAAUGAGCUUGUUUAAACUGCAUCCUUUAUUCAUGCAAGUCCAUAAACUGUAUUUUCCUUGAAACUCUCCCUCUUUUCCCCAUCUCCAUACAGUGCAUAGGCUUCCUCUCCAUGCACUGAAUCAUCUCCCAUAUGCAAAGCGUCUUCAUCCAACCUAAGUGGAACCACAACCUUAAUCAACAAGCAAAUUAAGGUUGUCAUCACAACAUUCAAGCAUAUGACAAACACAAGUCCUAGAAUUUGAAUCCCCAGCUGCUUUAGCCCUGCACCAAAUCUGCUACUCUGAAUCCCAUAUGCAAAUCCUAUGUAGUGUUGCCAGUUCUCCACUAGGUAAAAUAUGCGGUUGAGUUUUGGCUCGGCGAAGAUUCCUGUGAGGAUCCCGCCUAACAUUCCUGCGAUGGCGUGGGUGUGGAGCACUUCCAAUGUGUCGUCCACUUUCUUGAGUAAGGGACAUUUCUUUUGGAGGAUCAUCAUUGUGUACCAUGGAAUGCUGCCUGAGAGCAACCCCAUUAUGAUUGUAGCCCAUCCUUGAACCACUCCUGCGCCAAGGGUGAUACAGACCAAGCCAGUGAUAAUGCCUUGGGUGGUGCCAAGCACAGAAGGUUUCUUAAAGAAUAUGAUGUCAAGAAUGAGCCAUGUGAGCAAGCUUGUGGCGGUGCAAACGUGCGUGUUAAGGAUGGCCAUGGAUGCAUCGAUGCUGGCCACAAACGGAGCUCCACCAUUGAAUCCCGUCCAACCCAACCAGACGAACCCAACGCCGGUUAGCAUUGACAGAAUGUUGUUUGGGAUGAAUGUCUCUCGAUCCUUAAUUGACCUCGGCCCGACCCAGUAAGCAGCAGUGAAACCCGAGACCCCUGAGGCGACAUGAAUCACGUAUCCCCCUGCAAAAUCAAUAAUUCCCAUCUUUGACAACCAGCCAUCAGGGCACCAUAUGCUAUAAGCACUAAUGGUAUAGGAAAAUGUUAGCCAAAGUGGGACAAAAAUCAUCCAGGCAUGAAAAUUCAUUCUCCCAAGCAAUGCACCAGCAAUCAAAACCAAUGUAAUCGCAGCAAACACGAACCGAAAAUACACCAUAGUCGCGUUAGGGAAUGACCCAAGAAACGCCUUUCUUAGAAGAAAUUUCUCGUCCAAACAUGACUUAAACACGGACAAAGUAGUUGAAUUGUGACUUAAUCUCGUUAAAUUCAUGCAAUGUAGGUGUUUCUAUGGAAAAGAUGGAAUUCAGAAGAAAAGAGCCGAAAAAGGACCAAAACGGAACAAAGCGAUAGUUCGGGGACCAAAGGUGCAAAUAUUGGAAAGUUGAGCUAAAGUGCAGAACGAGAAUGAAAAUAUGCCAAGUAUGAGAUUGAGGACGAUACAAGACGAUCGGAGGAAGAAAGAAGUAACAUUGGACUGAAUUGAAGAAAAGUGAAAGAUGAAGGACUAAAU
rnacentral:lncRNA from 1 species